GGUCUGGGGAUGUGGUACCGGCUGCUGGCGGCGGCCGGCAGUAGAGCGGUGGCCAGGCCGCUGGCCUUGCUGUGGCGAUGUGGUGGCCCAGGAGGCGGCAGGACGGCCAAGACCAGCGCGAGGGCCCUGGGCAAGGCCCGACAGUGGUUAUGGCCAGUGAGAAUGUGCGGUGUUGCAUUGCAGAAGAAGCUAGGAAAGCUCAUCUGGCCUCCUGUUCCAGUGCUUCCAGGGGAUCCACGUUCAGAAGCUGACUCUGCAGGCAAGACCGACGUUAUUUUCCUGGUGGCUGUGUUCAAAACCACCCAAAGGGUUUGAGAAAUACUUUAAGAGGAGUGGAAGGAACACAAACUGAGAAACAUCAACAGCACCAAAAAAAGAGACUGGUGAACUAGAGAAUGCUGAGUCUGGAGGAGACGGAGGCAGGAGAGGAGGGAAGCAGGAUAACGUUGCCUGGUGGAGGCGGAUGCAGAAGGGGGGACUUCCCCUGGGAUGACGAGGAUUUCCGCAGUCUGGCCCUUUUGGGGGCAGGCGUUGCCAUGGGAUUUUUCUACCUCUAUUUUCGAGAUCCUGGAAGAGAAAUCACGUGGAAGCACUUUGUACAGUAUUACCUGGCCAGAGGUCUGGUGGACCGGCUGGAAGUCGUGAACAAACAAUCUGUGCGUGUUAUUCCUGCCCCUGGGACCUCUUCUGAAGUGAGGGGUGAAUUUAAGGCUGAG
rnacentral:lncRNA from 1 species